AGGAGUGACAACUGCAGGCUGCUGGAGAAACAGCAAGGUUCUCAGAAUUUUUCUUCUACCUUGAUCAAAUGUCACAGAAGGUACUUCCUGGUAUACACACAGGAGUUGCCUGCAGAAAACGUCCUGCAGAAUGUUCCAGGAAUUUGAUCUCCAUGUACUGUUCUGAGAGGCUAGCCUGCGGAGAAUGAAAGUAAGGAGCAAGCAAGUGAUCAUUACUCACCACCUCAAUCCACCCAAGGGCUUUCACCUGGAACCCAAAGUGC